rnacentral:rRNA from 1 species
ACGCUCGACACCUACUGGAGGCAGCAGUGGGGAAUAUUGCACAAUGGGGGAAACCCUGAUGCAGCGACGCCGCGUGGAGGAAGAAGGUCUUCGGAUUGUAAACUCCUGUUGUUGGGGAAAAAGNGGAUGGUACCCAACAAGGAAGUGACGGCUAACUACGUACCAGCAGCCGCGGUAAUCUGAGCGGGCUGGCAAGGC